UACGAAGGGUGCAAGCGUUACUCGGAAUUACUGGGCGUAAAGCGUGCGUAGGUGGUUUUUUAAGUCCGUUGUGAAAGCCCUGGGCUCAACCUGGGAAUGGCAGUGGAUACUGGAAAGCUAGAGUGCGGUAGAGGGUAGUGGAAUUCCCGGUGUAGCAGUGAAAUGCGUAGAGAUCGGGAGGAACACCAGUGGCGAAGGCGGCUCGCUGGGCUCUACCUGACGCUGAGGCGCGAAAGCGUGGGGAGCGAACCGG
rnacentral:rRNA from 1 species